GGAUAUAUCCUUCUUUGUGUUUCUUUCAGACCCUUGGUAAAACCCUACUGGGCUAUUUGCUUCUUUUACACAUAUAGUUCAGCACAGAAUUAAAAGAAGGUGAAGCCUAUAUAUAUCAUGGCCCAGCUUCUAGCUCGCCUCUGGCCUUGCUGGUUCUUAUUAAUGAUUCAUUUCUUUUGACAGGAGCGGCAACAUUUCAGGACUUCUUGGGUGGAAGAAAGUUGGCAGAGAGAAAGUCCACGGUUAAUGAAGUUACUGUUGUCUCCAGGAUUAAGAAAACAUGCUUCCUCUAAUAAAUCAAAGAUCAUCAGAGGUAACUGCUUAUUCCACGAUUCCCAAGACAGCUUCAUCCAGACACUGGCCAUGAGGAAAGAUGAGAUUUGAAUUUUGAUCCCACCAGUGAGCUGGAGGCACAACGGAAUGGCAGCCUAGAACAAGCAGUAUAAGAAAAGCACCAUUUAUGGGCAGGUGUUGGCUGGGCUCCAUGAAGGCCUUUCAGGGCUACACAUGGAAGGCACUCCUGGUGUAUCUCCGAGAAUGCAGGAGAUCCCUACCAAGCAGGUAGUCAAAUUCCAAGCCUCACGCCCCACCUGCCCCUUGUGGUAAGUUGGUGUUUCCUUUCACCAUAUUUCAGCAUGCAGAAUUG